UUCCCAGUCCCANCNGUUGUAAAACGACGGCCAGUGAAUUCGAGCUCGGUACCUCGCGAAUGCAUCUAGAUCCUACGGGAGGCAGCAGUGGGGAAUUUUGGACAAUGGGCGCAAGCCUGAUCCAGCAAUGCCGCGUGCAGGAUGAAGGCCUUCGGGUUGUAAACUGCUUUUGUACGGAACGAAAAGCCCUGGGUUAAUACCCUGGGGUCAUGACGGUACCGUAAGAAUAAGCACCGGCUAACUACGUGCCAGCAGCCGCGGUAAUACGUAGGGUGCGAGCGUUAAUCGGAAUUACUGGGCGUAAAGCGUGCGCAGGCGGUUUUGUAAGACAGAGGUGAAAUCCCCGGGCUCAACCUGGGAACUGCCUUUGUGACUGCAAGGCUAGAGUACGGCAGAGGGGGAUGGAAUUCCGCGUGUAGCAGUGAAAUGCGUAGAUAUGCGGAGGAACACCGAUGGCGAAGGCAAUCCCCUGGGCCUGUACUGACGCUCAUGCACGAAAGCGUGGGGAGCAAACAGGAUUAGAUACCCUGGUAGUCCACGCCCUAAACGAUGUCAACUGGUUGUUGGGUCUUAACUGACUCAGUAACGAAGCUAACGCGUGAAGUGACCGCCUGGGGAGUACGCCG
rnacentral:rRNA from 1 species